UACGGGGGGGGCAAGCGUUGUUCGGAAUUACUGGGCGUAAAGGGUGUGCAGGCGGGGAAGCAAGUGGGGUAUGAAAUCUCCCAGCUUAACUGGGAUAGGUUAUGCCAGACUGCUUUUCUAGAGGACGAGAGAGGGGGGUGGAAUUCCGGGUGUAGUGGUGAAAUGCGUAGAGAUCCGGAGGAACCCCAGAGGCGAAGGCGGCCCCCUGGCUCGUACCUGACGCUCAGCCACGAAAGCAUGGGGAGCGAACGGG
rnacentral:rRNA from 1 species